GCCCUGUAAAAUUUCUAUUUUAUACAAACCACUUCAUCACUUUAACUGAAUAUUUUUUUCUUAAAAUGUCCCUAUUUCUUACAAUGGGCCAUAGCAAUCCUGUGAUUUAUGCAUGGGGGCUGUUUCUCCUCAGCAGCCUCCAUAGCCCGGUCACUGAUACAUGG